rnacentral:SRP_RNA from 2 species
CGACGGUCGGAUGCGACUCUGUCCCACUAAAUCCGGUCAGGCCAGGAAUGGAGCAGCCGUAGGUGGUUGACGAGUGCGACAUCCCGACCGUCAUUU